rnacentral:misc_RNA from 1 species
UUUCCGUAGGUGAACCUGCGGAAGGAUCAUUGCACACACGAUGCAGCAAACUAGCGAACUGUGUUUGUCCCCCACCUACCCCAAACACGAGGGGCCGCAUCUGGAGGUGCGGCUGUCGACGGCAAGGUCCCGACCUUCGGGUCCCCGCAGUGGUUCCCGCAAGCGGGCUGAUCAUGUCGCCGUCUGGGUGUCCCGCGCGGGCUCUCGCCUUGCCUUAGGGUUGGGCGACGCGGGCAUUCUCCUCCCUUCGAUGGCGUCGUCCCCUCCUCCGGGAGAGCGACACGCCUCGAGGGCCGUUUACAACUUUGCACCAUGUACAGCACCAGUGACUGGGUAUACCUGUGUCCCGGGUCCGCUGCUGCACUCGGGUGGUGCGGGACUGGUCCAUAGGAACAAGAGUAAAUAAAAACAACUCUCAGCAACGGAUAUCUUGGCUCUU